rnacentral:rRNA from 1 species
UACGUAGGUGGCAAGCGUUAUCCGGAUUUAUUGGGCGUAAAGAGAACGCAGGCGGUCUUUUAAGUCUGAUAUGAAAGCCUUCGGCUUAACCGGAGUAGUGCAUUGGAAACUGGGAGACUUGAGUGCAGAAGAGGAGAGUGGAACUCCAUGUGUAGCGGUGAAAUGCGUAGAUAUAUGGAAGAACACCAGUGGCGAAAGCGGCUCUCUGGUCUGUAACUGACGCUGAGGUUCGAAAGCGUGGGUAGCAAACAGG